CUUCGGAUCUGGCCCAUAAUUAAUUAUUAGAGAUUUUAAUAAUGACAACACUACCCUUUUGUAUAUAAACAAGAGGAAUAUCAGAAGAUUCUUUUCAUUUUCAGAUUUCGUCUCUCUCUCUUCCAGACGAGUUUAUCUCCUGCAGAAAUGGUUUCUCUUCAUUUCCAGAUCUGAAACAAUUAUUAUCUCUCGAAAUCAAGUUCUCACACAAUUAAACAUCGCCAACAACUCGUGUUCUUGCGAUUUCAGUGAUGAGAAGAUCUGAAGAAGAAUCAACCAAAUGAUACGAACCUAAAUCCGAGCAUAAAGAAACUCGAUUCAAUUCAAUCGAAGAGAAACAUCUACAAAAAUGAACAAAAUUUAAUAUUCUACCAUAGUUUGAUUAUGUUGGAAGAAACCUUUACUGGAAAUGAUACUUGUUGGCUUCUAGCCAUGCUGAGUAUGAGGAGGUGGUGGUGGUGGCGCAGAUGCAGGUUUUAGUGGGGGAUUUUUGACCUGUUGAGUGGUGGAGAAGUAAGUGGAGGUGUCAUGUUCAGCAGUGGUGGUGGAAUUACAGAGUGUUUCAACUGUUCCAUUAAGUUUGUGAUUCUAGGAGGUUGUGGUGGAGGAAGUGCAGGUUAUAGAUGAGGAUUUGGAGCCAAUAUUGGUGCUGAUGGCGGUGUUUUCAAUGUCAAUUUGUAUAUAAUAACUUGUUUGUGUUGCUUGCAGUGAAUAUUUGGUAUGUAGAGGAUCUGCAGGCUAGGUAAAGUGAAAAAAUAGGGAUUGAAAUCAGGAUUCUUUGUUUGUUUUCAUUUCUGGAUUUGAGUCAGCUGGCUCAGAAGAAAAAUUUCAUACUUUGCUUGUUCAUAUACCUAAGCAUGAGACAUGAAUUAUAGCUCAUUUGGAAGGAUUUUUGGUGUUUGGUCUGAUUGGAACAAGUCAAGUUAGUGAUGAAGGUGAUGUUGAGUUCAAGGCUGUUCUUUUUGUUCCUCCAAAGGCUCCUCAUGAUCUGUAUGGGAGUUACUACAAUGCUAACAAGUCCAACUUGAAGUUAUACGUCAGACGUGUCUUCAUCUCAGAUGGAUUCGAUGAUCUUCUGCCCAAGUACCUGAACUUUUUGAUGGGAAACACAUUAGGAAGUUGGUUAAAGAUGGAUUCAUCAGCUGCAAACCAAACCACAUUCACUCUCCAUAUCAUGCACGGAGAAUGACAAAAGCCAGAUUGAGGGGUUUUCACUCUGGAUAUGGUUCAGUUAGUGAUUGAGAAUUUAGAGCAAUUGUUCCUGAAACAAUAAAAAUGAGCGGCUUGUUGUCAAUGAUGAUCGAGGUGAUAAGUUAAUGCUACUGCGAGCAAAUCCAGAUGCCCCU